CUUAUUAGUUUGGUUUAAAAGCGUGGUUAAUGCGCAGUUGUGGAGCAGAAGUGCGCCGUUUGUCUUUCUCUUUCUCUUCUCUGUGGAAGAAAGUGGACUUCGCCUGAGAGCUGAACUAGGUGGGGCCGCUAAUCAGACACACUCCGAGCAGGACACUGCGUGAAAGAAAGACAAGCUGCUGCGUGAAAGAAAGACAAGCUGCUUUGAACACCACCACGCCUGGAAGACUUCAUAUCUUCACACACAAGGCGUCUGACGGGUUGGAGUGCGACGUGACGUCACGACCCCGCGCUCGGCCCCGCCCCUCCCCGCCGAAGCGCCCUGUCUGCUAUUGGAUGGAAAUUAGGGCUCCAUACAAAAGCGCACUAACGGUACCAGGCUCUUCAGAAAAUGAAUUCAUGGUCAUUAACCAGAGGAAACCAGAGAACCCAGAGGAAACACACAAGGACAUGGGGAGCGUACGCACAACUCCACCACCCGAGUUAAGGAGCUCAGGCCCCUGGAGCUGCACCUCUAAAAUAAUAAUAAUAAUAAUAAUAAUAAUAAUAAUUUCGAGCUUUCACUUCAAAAUUGUAAAAUGUAUUCUUACGGCAGUAGUGAAUUGCUGUGUAUACACCCUGCCUCAGAUCAUGAGGCUUAAUUAAUAUCAUGGAUUUAUGCUACAAAAGAGUCAUUUUGAUGCCAAAUACACAAAACAAGGAAUCCUGAAAACGUAAGUUAUUUAAACUCCUCAAGUAGGCAGUAAUUAACCCUUAGGACACAAAGUUAUAAUGAAGAUUUGCUUUAAUCACAUUUCCAUGAUAUCAGUGCUCAAUAUAAUAAUAACACAUAAACCAAACUCUUCCCACAUUGCUGGCAGUGAAAGCAGUGCCUCCUAAACCUCAGUAUAACCCCUUCUUAUUUAUUAUAUGAUCUUUUCUGAAUACAGUCUGAUAGAAAGGAAACUGUGAUUUUUUUUUUACAUAAUUUAAAAAGUAACCUAAUGACAGUUUAAAGGAAUUCUCCAGGGUUUCUUUUACCCAUAUGUCUAUCUACCAUAUGUUUAGUGUUACAUGCAGAAAAAUUAACACAUGUCCCUGUACCCUGUAAAAAGAUCAGAAAUCUCAUUUAUACGAAUUAAUGGAAGUCUAAGUGCAGUCGUUAGAGUAAUCAGUCAAGUUAAUCCAAAAAUAGACAGUUGUAAUUCUGUUUUUGCAUAUCUUAAAUAUUUAUUAAAUGAAUUUAACACUUGCCCCUAGCCUACUCUUGAAGCAAGUUUCAAUUAAACAGGACUCUCACUGUAUUCUCACUACAGGGAAAUAUGUGAGAGACAAUGUGCCAGAAUGCUACAGAUGCAGUGGAUAAUGAGAUAAUGUUAAAGAAUACCGUACCAUACAAUGGUACUGUAUAGUGUUUCUCAACCCCAGGCCAGGGAACUAACUUCCCUGCACAGUUUCAAGACCUCAUAAGUCCCAACACACCUAAUCCAGCUCAUCAGCUCAUCUAAUUACUAAGCCCUUCAUGAGUUGGGUAAGACAUGCAUCUUGGAAGUUAGGAAACCUUAAAUCUGUGAAGGACCUGGGUUGAGAAACCCUGCUUUAAAAAUGACAUCUAACUUACAGCAAUCCAUAAAACAAUAACUACUACAAAACAUCAUUUCAAGCAGGCCAUUUUUUGCUGCAUGUUUUCUGUGUGAAUGGUCUCCUGUUCUCUGCUGAUUGCAUUACUCAUCUCUUACAGGCUUAGAAGAAAACGAGUGAAGAAAUCAAACAGCUCAUUGAGAGGGUCUGCAAGCAGUCCGGAAUGCCAAAUAUGCUCUCUAGCAUCAGGAAUGUGAGUUUGCUCCAUGCUGUAGGCCACCAUCCCUCACAGCUCUCAGCAUUCAUGUGGCACUCAGCUGUGCACACUCAGAUGUAUGGGAGUAUUGGUGUAAGUUACACCAAUGCAUUUUUCUGCUAUUCCACUGAGUAAAAGUUUUAAUCACUGAGUUAUAGCUACACUAACCAUGGCACAGUGCUAUUUAACUGCCAGUUGAUGUUUAUCAUAAAACUCACAUAACCUGUGAAUAUAUAUAUCACACAACCACAAACUUAUGAAUUAUUAAGAUUGCUGAUUUAACUGAUUUUCAUUUCUUCUGGAAUUAGUAUAUAUUACUUUGUGCAAAGACAGCUCUGGCCAUCCAGUUAUCAUCACCAUAUAAUCACUUAUCCAUGACAGCAAAGUUAACAGAGUAUAUUGACAAGAGAUGAUUGAGAUCAUUGACAAGAUGAUUCCACAUAAAAAUGCUACGUACAGCCAGCCCCAAGGACAACCAGGGAAGCUGCCCCGGGCCCAGGAGGGUUUAGUAGUCCACUUACAUGCAGAAUAGGACUAUCUGAAAUAUGUCUGUUUGAUAAAGCUAUGUCUUGUGCAUUUUUUGCAACUCGUCAAGGUUAAUACUUCCCAUAUCUUGUAAAAUGGUUUGAUCUGCUGUGUUUUCCAUGGCAAAAAUCUUACAUACCUGCUGAAUGUAUGAUUUGUGGCUAAUUACAGACAUAAAAACUGCAGCUUUUGUUUAAAAAAUUAAAAGAACCAAUCGAUUUCCUUUUGGUUACUGACUUUAAGAUUAGAGCUAGGUUUAGGUGUAGGCAUAGCAUUAAUUAGCCACAUUAAUGUCAAAGGAAGUUCCUCACAAGGAUAGCAAGUGUGUAGGGGCCUUCUUAAGUGGAUCGUCCCGUGCCUGAGCAAUAUCCAUGGUGGGCCUGUGUACUGCUCUCAAAAAGACCUCUGCAUUCAUAGCAAAGACAUAACAUUGUGUUUAAAGGCGUUAUGUUGGAUAAGACCUUCAUGAUUUAUCCGGAGCCCUUCACCAGAAACUAUUUUCAAUAUUGCACUCUGUACAUACAUGCAUAUGUACAUGUGUAUUAGUUAGGAGUGAUUACUGUCAUGCUGCCUGAGGCCUGUGACACACUUCUAUGUCCCAAUCCAGGAAAGCUACAGUAUUUCUGCUGAUCAGAUAGAGCCUACAGGAACUCCCGUGUGUGAGAGCAGCUGGAAAGUCAUGGGCUAUUCUUAGCUACGUUUUCCUGCCUGGGUGGGGUUUCACAGUUUCUUCACGACGAUUGCGCACCAGCAAUUGUUUCCCCACACAAGAUUUCACAUGGGGUCAACAAAACCAAAAAAGAGCACAGUAUGUGGAGUAAUCCAGGAAGUCAGGGACCUUCUCACCUCACCCACAACAUACCCACACACACAAACAAGAACGACAGAGGCAGAGAUGCCAGCGAUCCCGACCGCUUCUGCUCUCCGGACCUACCUGAUCCAGACUGAUGCUUUACUUCUGGUUGGAGUUCUAAUGUCAUGGAAAUCACUCGCUGCUGCUGAGGAUGGCCCACAUGGACACGCUAAACUGUGGUAGAAACCAUUAAAAAAUUGCUUUGGACUGCAAUUGAUACAAACGGUUUUGCUCUCAAGUCUCCGUCAGUGAACAGCUAAUGACUUCAACAAAAUGGACUUUAUGUGAAAACUAUGAUGAAUUUCCUGGUUACAUAAUCACACUUUUGACCAUGUAGUACACAGUUAUACAAGGGAAUUAUUCAUAAUCGCACUAUCCGGUGUCACCCAGAUGAGGAUGGCUUCCCUUCUGAGUCUGGUUUCUCUCAAUGUUUCUUCCUCAUGUCAUCUCUUUGCCACUGUCACCUCUGUCUUGCUCAUUAGGGUUAAAUGUAUAAAUGUAUAAAUUCAAAAUUUAUAUUUCUGUAAAGCUGUUUUGACAAUGGCCAUCGUUAA